rnacentral:misc_RNA from 1 species
CUGCCGCUUCGGUGCCUUGAAAGCACCUUGCCAAUCUAUAACCUCCUCAACUGAACCUCACCACGCGCUCACCAUAUAUAUUUUUUGCCGCCGCAGCUGCUGCUGUUGCUGCUGCUGUUCUCAUCCAUUUGCUCGCUGUCUAUCUACCCCCUACAACCACUUGAGAACAUUCCCAUUCUCCGGGUGUACUUCGGUCGCGGACUCUCGUUGGGCACUCGUCGAUCUCCACAUUCGGUCCGGCGAGCCCGUUCUUGUGUUUGCGCUCUCCUCUUCUGUUCUAUCGCUUCCCUUCUACACCUCUGUAUUGCGCAGGUGUCCAACAAAGGCACCCCCCCCCCUCCUCAUCUCUGCGCCUCUUCCACACACACACACACACACACAGCUACGCAUAAAUGGGCUCGGCGGUGGAGGAACAAAAUCUGUUCUCUGCGGCCAACGGCCGCGGAAUCGCAGCCGCGAGCUCCGUCGACAACGCAGCCAGCGCUUCGAACCAGAUGAACACCAAGACUAAGAAGCAGCUCUUUAUGCUGCAGAGGGCGGAGCGACUGAAGGACCCUAAGGUGCGCAAGAUGGGCAUCGACCGCGAGGCCUUGGAUGCGCAGGUGCGUGAGAAGGAAGCGCUGCGCCGGCUGGAAAAGGAGAGGAAUGACUACUACGACCGACAGGCACUCCUGAUGGACCGCCAUGCGUGUGCACUGCAGCAGGAGGUGAAUUCCAUUCGCGCAGCUCGAGAAAAGGAGCUGCAGGACUACCGCCAGACCUUUCAGAAGAAAGAGAUGGGCCGCGAGUGGGACCUUAACGACCCGGAGGCACGGCGCAAGGAGCUUCCGGCACGCAUCGGCGACGACGACCCUCGUAACGGACCAUCGUCGCUGCAGAAGUUUGAAGGCGAGGAUCUCGACUACGCGGCACGCAGGGCGGCGCAGCAGCGGCAGCAGCGGCAGUGGGCGCAGCAGCAGGUGAACGAGAAGCUCGCGAAGAAGUGGAUGGAGCAGGAGCGCGACCGCGCGUUCGACGACCGCAACGAGGAGGUGAACCACCGCCUGUACGAGGUGGAGCAAAAGGUGGCGGAGCAGCGCAGGCUCAUGGAGAAGAACGGGGCCGAUUUCAACCGCGCGCUCGCUGAGCAGCAGCGACGCGAGGCUGUGCGCGCCAAGGAGGAGGACACUCGCCUCGGCCUGCAAGAGAUGGCGUACCAGAUGGACAGCGACUUCCUCAACGAGCGCGAAACCGUAGUCAGCGAGCUUGGCGGCAGCGUCAUGGCAGAGCGCUACAAGGGCAUGUCGGAGAAGCAGAAGACCCUCCUGCGAGCCGGCCAAGAUGAGCAGCUCCGCGAGCUCCGCCGUCGUCGUCUUUUAGAGGUGGAGGAGCAAAGGCAGUGGUCGCUGCAGGAAAACAUGCAGCUGCGAAUGGCAAACGCUCUCGAUCGUCAGCGCGAGCGCGAACGCCGAGCUGAGCGCGAGCAGCUGGCGGAGACUCACAAGAUGCAGGCACAAGCAGCAGCCAAACGUAAGGCCCAGUUAGACGAGCUCUACAAGAACGCGGUAGACGAGGACUACUUCAAGUACUGGGAUCGGUGCUUGUAGUCGCUACGUGUGCGGCGGCUUUGGCUGACGCUGGCAGAGGCAUGUUGCUGCUUGCUGUUGACCCAGUGAGUCUCGCCUUCCUUUUGCGUGUGUUUUUCCUCCGUUUUUAGAAGAUGUACCAACUGCAUUGUUUGCUCGACUAUAGGUGCCCGCGUGUGCCGGUGCUAUGGCAAGAUGCUGCUCUCGAAGCCCAUGUAUAUUGUGACCGUGCCCUCUUCUGUGAGCGCAGGUCCGUGUUUGCCAGCUGCGGCCACACGGGAUCUUUUCUUUGUCUUCUUCGUGCUGCGCACUUUCUUCUCAUGGCGUUCUCACGGCGGGACCUACAGCGGUGGAGGACGGCAUGUGGAGGCGUAUCUCGGACCCGAGUGCUGGCACUGCUGGCCCGUCGCGUACACCUCUCAUUUCAGUCUGUCGUCGGUCAUUGUGGAUGGGAACACCACAUCAACGUUCACAAGCUUGCCGAAUCGUCAGCGGCAGAGGAGUCGACACCAACUGCAUGGAUCACGGAGCUUGCUAUUGGUCUGAGACGGCAGGUCGACAUCCCCCUACGACCCGCACGGCAGAUGCCGCCGCCUCCACUAUCGAGCAGGACCCUGCGCACGGACCACUUGGAUGAAGGCGUGCAGCCCACUCGCGUCCGUCUGGCACCGAUCUCGCAGCACAUGUGUGGAGGAGGGGCGAGGAAGGACAAGAAGUGCCCGCAAGACGCAUGCCCCGAUUCAAUGACAGCACGGUUCGUCCCAGGCGGCCAGGGCUUAGCAGCAGUGCUGGAGCGGUAGGUGAGCUGUGGCUGCGUGGGUGUAUGCUUUGGUUGCCUUUUUCGUGUGUGAGGGGGAAUACACGGGCACGUCGAAAAUAAAAACCGGUCCAAGCUCGCUGUGUGCGUUUGCGUGCGCGUGUGUGUCGGUGUGUGUCUCUCUGUAGGGCGUCUUCACGUCAUUCACCUCAUCUGUGCGGUCCUCUGCGUCUCUCUUUGUUUCUCUCCCUCUCCACCAUGUCACUAAUCACGCCUCCUCCUCGUCUCUGAAGUAGGUUUGCGUGUGUCGUCAUCGCCCACGCGGUGCUUCUUUCUGUAUAGAAGGCGACACCGAUAUGCAGACAGACACACAGUUGUACAGGAGAGUUGAUGCUGAAUUGGGCGCACUGUUGUUUUGCCUC